GACGAACGCUGGCGGCGUGCUUAACACAUGCAAGUCGAACGGAAAGGCCCUGCUUUUGUGGGGUGCUCGAGUGGCGAACGGGUGAGUAACACGUGAGUAACCUGCCCUUGACUUUGGGAUAACUUCAGGAAACUGGGGCUAAUACCGGAUAGGAGCUCCUGCUGCAUGGUGGGGGUUGGAAAGUUUCGGCGGUAGGGGAUGGACUCGCGGCUUAUCAGCUUGUUGGUGGGGUAGUGGCUUACCAAGGCUUUGACGGGUAGGCGGCCUGAGAGGGUGACCGGGGACAAUGGGACUGAGAGACGGCGCAGACGGGUACGGGGGGCAGCAGGGGGGAAUAUUGCACAAGGGGGGGAAGCGUGAGGCGGCAACGCGGGGGGCGGGAUGACGGCCUGGGGGGGGGGAAGCGCGUUCGGCUGGGACGAAGCGUGAGUGACGGUAAUGGGUGAAGAAGCACCGGCUAACUACGUG
rnacentral:rRNA from 1 species